GAUGAACGCUGGCGGCGUGCCUAAUACAUGCAAGUCGAGCGAACGGACGAGAAGCUUGCUUCUCUGAUGUUAGCGGCGGACGGGUGAGUAACACGUGGAUAACCUACCUAUAAGACUGGGAUAACUUCGGGAAACCGGAGCUAAUACCGGAUAAUAUUUUGAACCGCAUUGUUCAAUAGUGAAAGACGGUCUUGCUGUCACUUAUAGAUGGAUCCGCGCUGCAUUAGCUAGUUGGUAAGGUAACGGCUUAUCAAGGCAACGAUGCAUAGCCGACCUGAGAGGGUGAUCGGCCACACUGGAACUGAGACACGGUCCAGACUCCUACGGGAGGCAGCAGUAGGGAAUCUUCCGCAAUGGGCGAAAGCCUGACGGAGCAACGCCGCGUGAGUGAUGAAGGUCUUCGGAUCGUAAAACUCUGUUAUUAGGGAAGAACAUAUGUGUAAGUAACUGUGCACAUCUUGACGGUACCUAAUCAGAAAGCCACGGCUAACUACGUG
rnacentral:rRNA from 1 species